rnacentral:lncRNA from 1 species
GGAGGCAUAAGAUCACACUCCGACCACCGUAUCCUCUGCCACCGUUACAGUAUCAUCUGCCACCGUUCACCACCAUUCAACAGAGAUAAACCCCUAGACGCCGCCGCAUAGGGGGUGGGUGUCGUGUCUGAAAGUUGCCAGUUGUACCAGCCGCCGCCACCACCGUUCACCACCAUAUCUUGUAAAUUUACAAGUUGAGAUGCAUAAGAGCACCCCCUGACUACAACUUGCUGACCUAAUCUGGCCACCAUCGCCUCAAAACGAACCACCAUGGCUGAUCGAUUUCUACGAUAUGCGAAGAUGUAUGGGGUAUUUUGGGGAUUUCGUUGAGAUAAAACCCCUUUGUGAAGCCCAAGUUGGUUCUGUAAUACUUUAGUGGGUUUCUAAUUUGCAAAUUAUUUUUUGGCUCUUCAAUAUUUGGGGAGCAGAUUGCUUUUGAAUUGUAGAUAUUGUCAUGGGCAGUGGGUUUUUAAUUUGCAAAUUAUGAUCUGCAUAAAGUGAGUUGCCUUUUAUUUUCGAUCUUUGGAUUGAUUUGUGUUUUUGAUAUUUUGGGUUGAGUUGGCAGUGAUAGGUAGAAACCAAUUUUUUCGACAGUUGAUGACGAUGGCGCGGCAAGGAUGGCGGAGGGUAGGUUUUUGAACCUGCAACCCCAUUUUGCAGCCUUUGAUUAUUGAAAACUUUGAGCCAAACCCCUUUUUUUCAAGAUCCACACAUUGUUUUGAUUUUUGUUGUUGGGGUUUAUAUUUUUUUUUCAGUCGAUGAUGAUAAGUUCAACUUAUCUGAGACACCAACUGAGUCACGAUUUUUGGGUGAGUUCGUCGUAUUUGAGUGCU